GACGAACGCUGGCGGCGUGCUUAACACAUGCAAGUCGAACGGAAAGGCCCUGCUUUUGUGGGGUGCUCGAGUGGCGAACGGGGGAGUAACACGUGAGUAACCUGCCCUUGACUUUGGGAUAACUUCAGGAAACUGGGGCUAAUACCGGAUAGGAGCUCCUGCUGCAUGGGGGGGGUUGGAAAGUUUCGGCGGUUGGGGAUGGACUCGCGGCUUAUCAGCUUGUUGGUGGGGUAGUGGAUUACCAAGGCUUUGACGGGUAGCCGGCCUGGGAGGGUGGCCGGCCACAUGGGGACUGCGGUACGGCCCAGACUCCUACGGGAGGCAGCAGUGGGGAGUAUUGCACAAUGGGCGGGAGCCUGAUGCAGCAGCGCCGCGUGCGGGAUGACGGCCUUCGGGUUGUAAACCGCUUUCGCCUGUGACGAAGCGUGAGUGACGGUAAUGAGUAAAGAAGCACCGGCUAACUACGUG
rnacentral:rRNA from 1 species